GUCCACGGUGAAAGCUGAUCUGGCGAUCCACAGUGCAAAGUUAAUGUAUUUCCUCAUCGACCAGCAUGGAUCAGCUCUAGGCAUGAUGAAGUGAAUAUCCUCUUCUUUUGAGAAACAACAUCUAAAAGACCACAAUGGCUCUCUAAACAAUGCAUGGAGUCAUUCCCAUGGUCGAUGGAGGUUAAAGGCAGUCAUCUGAGAAUGACAUCAUGCCGGAAACCAAGCGUUCCGCCACCCUGAGAGAGAGGAGGCCUUUUGUUCCUGAAUACAGUGGGCCCCUCAACAAUCACCCAGGAAUUUUUUCUCACCCAGACAAGCAACAGAUGAAAGGGUGGGACGGGAAGCUGGAGAGAUGGCAGAGAGUUAUUGUACCAAUAAGCAACCUCGCACAUCACAGACAUUAAUUUACAGCAGACAUUCGCUCGCAGACAUUUCGCUGCUUGAAAAUCUGACACAUUGAUUCCCAAGUAAACAACUUUAAUCAUAUUGGCCAGUGUUAUAAAUUAUGACAAGUCCGCAAAAUCAAACAUAUCAAGUCCAAACUGCUGCGAAACAAUUAACAAUUGACGAUGUGGGGCGUUUUAAUGAGGUUUGUUUCCCACAAGACGAGUGGGACCACAGCUCCGGCAGAGCUCCAGAAAUUCUUCUCACCAUCCAGCCACUAACAAAGGUUUCUCUGAGGUAACUACGGUGACCUCACUCACUUACAUGGUGGGUGUAGGGGUCCAUUUUAAAAUGCUCUUUUCACAUGGUGUGUUUUCUUAAAUCUUUGGGCUUCCAGCGCAAAGCCACUUCCCUGGAGCCAAAAUGUCUGGCGAGCUCCGCAGAGGUACAAGCAGCAGUUUUACACUGACAGGUCCUGUCGGAUUUAGAAAUAAAACCCUCAUCCAUCAAGUUCUCCAAGGUCUUGAGUAUCCUCAGACAAGACUGGUGUUGUUUCGCAAUCACCCUUCACAACAAUGUGCAGAGUGUUCAGUUCUGUUUGCCUUUCCCUCAUAGAAAGACUUUAUUUAUAAGCUCUAUCUGAGGUAGCUGAAAAUGUGUAUGGCUCAAACAAAUGUUGCAUUACGAUACUGUGGUUGGUGCAUUUUGAUGUGCUACAAAGUUGGCAAUGAAGAAGAAAAGACUGUCAGAACGUACAAAGGGAGACGUCUUACUGAUGGCUUUUGAAAGUCGAUCUUCGUGGCUUCAAGCGAGGCUCUAUUGAAUUACUCUGUCUGUGCUUAAAGUCAAGCUGUAUCAGCUGCUAGCUAAUUACUUUUGACAUAUUAAUGAUAAUGUCACUUGUAAUUUGCACUUUCAAGAGAAACAUUUUGUUGCUCAUUAGUCAAAGCUCAGGAGACUUAACAGCGCUGUUAGUUAUGUUAGUUUUGAGACCUAAUAGUUAUGCGUUAAUAUUUCAUUAAAGUAUCGUUUUGUCUUAGAUCAUUCUCCUGCAGUUCCUGAAUGAGAAUAAAACUGAAUGUGGCAACUGCUGGCAUAGUAAGCAUCUAGAGUUAAAAUGCAUAGCUCAGAUCAUUUGGCGUUGGAACUUUUGAGUGUUUAUUGAAAAUCUGUGACUUUUGAUCUCUCCUCCAUAAAAUCUGAGAGCAGAGCGUCUUCUAAAACUCAGCAGUUUAAGAUUACUGUGGUCUUUUAAUCAAAUUAAAAGCAUAGGAAGUAGGAGGCAUACAUUUCAAAUUGCACUCUAUUUGAUCUUAUUCUGAUUACAUGAAUAGCCUGAUCUCAUUAGUAUUCAUUUGUAUGUAUAGUGUUUUUUGGAUAUAUCCUGAAAAAUACAUUAUGGAUAUUGGAAGAAACUAAAAUGUAGGAUUUACAUGGG